rnacentral:lncRNA from 1 species
UGCAAGCAAAGGGAUGGGGAGAAGCUCCAAGAGGCAAGUGAGGAAUUCUGCAGCCACAUUGGUAGCAAUAGGAUGUUGCAGCAAAGUAGAAAUUGUUUCAGAAAAGGACUGAUCAAGUGCAUGGAGGAUGAGGACACCAGAAACAACUGCAUAUGAUGUUUGGACACAACCUACAGCCUAGUGAGUCCCUACAGCGCUGACUGUCAGAGACAGGGAUGACACAUGAUGGAAAAGAUGAUCCUACAAAUGCUUCAGUUCAAGCAGUGUUACUUCAAGAUUUUUCAGUAUGUCUGUUCUUAUGUAUCCAUCUGAUCAAAGAAGUCAUUACAAAUACAGGAGGCUGGAGGGAAAACUAACAGUCCAACAACAGGCAACUGUCAAUUGGUAAGAACAAUUAAAA